GGAAUUUUCCGCAAUGGGCGAAAGCCCGCCGGAGCAAUACCGCGUGAGGGAGGAAGGCUCUUGGGUUGUAAACCUCUUUUCUCAGGGAAUAAGCAAGUGAAGGUACCUGAGGAAUCAGCAUCGGCUAACUCCGUGCCAGCAGCCGCGGUAAUACGGAGGAUGCAAGCGUUAUCCGGAAUGAUUGGGCGUAAAGCGUCCGUAGGUGGCUGUGUGUGUCUAUUGUUAAAGAGUUUGGCUCAACCAAAUAAGGGCGGUAGAAACUACACAGCUAGAGUGCGUUCGGGGCAGAGGGAAUUCCUGGUGUAGCGGUGAAAUGCGUAGAGAUCAGGAAGAACACCGGUGGCGAAAGCGCUCUGCUAGGCCGCAACUGACACUGAGGGACGAAAGCUAGGGGAGCGAAUGGGAUUAGAUACCCCUGUAGUC
rnacentral:rRNA from 1 species